rnacentral:sRNA from 1 species
AUACAAGGAGAAGAAAGUUAUAAUCCGUUUCUGCUUGCAGAAUAAGGUUUAUAACUUUCUGAUCCGCAACAACAUGAGCAAGUAGUGAUUUUGGAAAGAAAAUCAACGGAUUGCGAAUGUUGUAGAAUUGCGGGAGUUGUGAAGCAACGGAGCAAUUCGU